CAUAUUAAAAGGCAAACAUUUAGUGAUAAAUGGACGCAAAGCACGAAGUCAUAGCAAUAUAAACAUUUGAUUAUAACAUUUAUGAUGGUUCGGCUGCAUAG
rnacentral:ncRNA from 1 species